GAGCUCUUUGUCCUUCCAACUGCGUUGCACCGAGCUAAGAUGGUCAGGGGUAUAUCAUAUGGACAACACACAUGCCAUUCUUUGCAAAGCAGUGAGUAAAGGAGUAUAUCCCACAUCAGCAUGGUAUGCUGAAGGCAGAGUAACAGGUAUCCUAUUGGGAGGUCCUUUCUUAUACUUUUGGUUGCCUAGCAACAAGCC
rnacentral:lncRNA from 1 species